rnacentral:misc_RNA from 1 species
AAGUUUGAAGAGUUGACUGUGGAGGAGAGGCAUUACGAUGAGGGUAGGAGGGGAUCUAGGGGUCGUUAUCGAGGUAGAGGCAGAGGGCGAGGGCCUGGGCCUGAGCGUGGAACUGUGCGAGGACAAAGAGCGAAAGCAUAUGUCAACGACAGCUAUCCGAGCAACAACAACAUCCAGAAGAUUCAGGAUAAUGCGCCAAAAGGUAUGAGAGGUCGGGGUCCAAGAAGGUAUCGACCCACAUUUAAGGACAAUAUUGAUGCACCCCCUCUACCAAACAAACAAUCUGGUUCGUCAGUUGAGAAACGUUCAUAUCAUAGCACAGCCAAAGCAUCUGCUCCUGUAUCAAAUGUAGAGAAUGAUGCAGCGACAGCUGCAAAGCAAGGUUUUGUGUCAAGCUUGAAUUCUGCUUCUCCUCCGUUU